rnacentral:rRNA from 1 species
UACGAAGGGUGCAAGCGUUACUCGGAAUUACUGGGCGUAAAGCGUGCGUAGGUGGUUUGUUAAGUCUGUUGUGAAAGCCCCGGGCUCAACCUGGGAAUGGCAAUGGAUACUGGCAAGCUAGAGUGCGGUAGAGGGUAGUGGAAUUCCCGGUGUAGCGGUGAAAUGCGUAGAGAUCGGGAGGAACACCAGUGGCGAAGGCGGCUAUCUGGGUAUGUAUUGACGCUGAGACGCGAAAGCGUGGGGAGCAAACAGG